GGGCGGAUGUAGCCAAGUGGAUCAAGGCGGU
rnacentral:tRNA from 1 species